CGUCAGUUGAGCAGGUCAUUCCAGCAUUCACCAACUGAGGUGGCUGCCCUACUCUGCCUAAUGGCAGAACCGGCCCUAACAGUAGGAUCCUUGACCUUUUCAGUCUGUUUCCUUAAAAAUUCUCCGUGCAGGCAUGUGUUGCUGGGCACAUAUCUGGUUUUCUGGUCAGUUGGCUAUUGCAGUUCUGCUGUCCCUUUGUUCCCUUUCAAGAAGGUUCAGAAAUCUACCCAAUCUCUACAUUGGAAAACACAUUUCUUUCUUGUUUCUGUCCAUCCGCUCCAACUGUUUUAAAGUUGCAGCUCUUGUAAACCACAAUCAAUAUUAAUAACAGUUCAUCUUAUCAAAAAUGACAGCCCCAGGACUCGACGCCAAAAGAAAGGAAGGAAAAAAAGAGAACAAGAGCACUGUUCAACAGCUAACUUUAUAAUUUAGGAAUGUGACAAAAUGGAAGGGAAACUUUGGGGGCAAGGAAGGAGGGGGGCAGGCUGAGACUCUGCUUUGCCCUUGAAGACAAAGCAAAUGCAAUUUUCAUGCUGAUUUGUUAGUGUGUGCAUUUUCAGAAUGCCUUUGAGUCAAAGAAGGCCGAGCCGUUGCUUACCAGAGGCAGAAGCUGAAAUCAUCUUCCCAGAUUAACAUGAUGUUCUCCACAGCCCUAGUCAACAUACAUCCAGAGAAUGAACUAGCUCAGAAAAGUUCAGGGGAAGUUUCAAGGCCAUGGGGCCUACACUCAAGUAGGAGGGGAGGGGACGUGAAAACAUCGUCCCCAAAAAAAGCGGAAGAGAGGAGAAAGGGAGGAAAGGGUAAAAGGUUGCCAGUCCUGGCCAGUGUAGAUGUGGCAAGGCUUAAGAAGUUGUGGUGUCCCAUACACACACACACACACACGCACACAGUCAUACCUUGGUUCUCAAACACCUUGGUACUCAAACAACUUGGAACCCAAACACUGCAAACCCGGAAGUAAGUGUUCCGCUUUGUGAACUUUUUUCGGUAGCUAAACAUGCUCCAUUUUGAGUGUUACGCUUCCAUUUUGAGUGCCAAACUUCCAUUUUGAGUGUUACGCUGAGGUCUGUCUCUGUUUUUGCUAUUUAUUUUGCAUUUCUGUUUUUGCAGCUCUUUUUGUUUGGUUUUUGUGACUGUAUAGAACCCAGUUCAGAUACUGAUGGAUUGAUUGUGUGACUGCAGUACAUUGUUUAUUACUUUCAUUUUAUGGAUCAACGGUUUGUUGCAUAGUAAAAUUCAUGUUAAAUUGCUGUUUUAGGGGUUGUUUUUAAAAGUGUGGAACGGACUAAUUCAUUUUGCAUUGCUUUCUAUGGGAAAGUGUGCCUUGGUUUUGGAAUACUUUGGUUUUGGAACAGACUUCCGGAACAGAUUGAGACAAAAUGGAAAAUGCUGCCCACCAGGGGGAGUAAAAGGAGGCAGGUGGGAACCCCUUUACUAUGCUGAUCCUGCCCAAAGCAGUAACAGCUUCUACCAAACACCUAACAUAAGUAAGUCUUAUUUCACUGAGGAGAAGGCGAAGGAGGGGGAAGAAUCCCAACAACACCCAACACCUAGGGCCAAUUGGGAUUGGGAAAAAUCUAUUCCAGGCCCAUCAACCAGCAACCCAACUAAUUCAAUGAGGCUCUAAUCCAAGGAUGGAUGGGAGGCUAACAGGGAAAAAUUACCCUGAACCCUCGUGGACGAGGUCUUUUAAGGCCCUUGGUGCAUCUUACCACUUGCAAGAUCCCAUAGUAUGAUCCCAUCCUUGAUAGCGCAAGGAGGAAGCCUGACUCUGUCUGUCCAGGCUACAUGCUGACAAUGAUACCCUGUGUGCAGCUGUGCCUGGAACUAAGCUUUUAUGAGUUAGGGCACAGAUUCAGUUCCUGCAGCCUGAAAAUGUGGACAAGAUGUUUGAAGGGGGCCAGCUAAACACACACCCUCUUGACCUUUGAUAUUCCUGGCUUAGAAGAGCCAGCCAAAGGGAUGGACUGGAGUCUGUCUGAAGAGUGGUAAAUGACUCGUAGCAGGAGAGGGAGAUGCCACCUGCCUUUGCCAGUCAUCAGGGAAGCAGAGACAUCAUAGAAUCGUACCUUGGAGUCCAGUAGCAUCUGCCACAGGUUCUCUAUCCAGGGAUGGAUGACCUUUUAAUUUCCAGUCCAAGGGCUGCACUCUCUUUGUGGUCACAUCAACGGGCCACAUGCCAAUGAUGGACAAGAUCAUAGGCAAAAGUAGGCAGAGCAACAGGUGUAAAUUUCGUCUUCGUGCAGUUGGCUAGUUUCUGUCCUCCAUCACUGUCAGAGUUGAAGGACAUGUUCAAGCCUAAUAAAAACACUCAAGGAGGUGGCCAAGCAGAGACAUUGAGGGGUGUCACCUGGAGAGGUGAGGCACCUUGGGGAGAGUCCCAAGGGCCAGACAGUGAAGGGCCUCAUUUGGCCCCCCCAGGUCUGACUCCCCAUAGCUGACACUCACCGCCAGUAAACAUAGACAACAGUUUUAUUCUAUAACUUGGAAAAGUACUGGACCUACAUUGUGGUCAAAACACAACACUGCAGCUUUUCAAGUCGAAUUUCAAGGGAGGCGAGAGUGAGUGGAAUUCUGUAGUUUCAGACGCUAGAAAGGAUUUUUUCUCUCUCCAUAAGUGUAAUUUAAAGGAAGAAAGGGAGCCAGAAAACCAGGUAUUGUUUAAAGGAAAAAGAGAAAAAGGGAUUAUUUCAAAGAUUCACCUGUCAUGUCUGCUAUUGAUUUUCAUAAACAGCUUGCUAACCAGCCCGUUCCUUUCUGAUCAUGUUCCCUGGCUCACGCAGGGGGAUCAUGACAGGUUCCCAAAUUAAUUUUUUUGCCCAGGAGAAAACCCCACACAGGCGAAGCUCGCGAGGAAGGCCCAGCACUUCCAAGUCAAUGCUACCCAGGUGCUGUUAUCUUAUUGUACUUGACGGGCGAGAAGAGAGGAAGCCGGCAUUGUUAAAAACCUGACAUGACUAUGAAUGUGGAGGAACUCUCGUUUCCUUACAAUUACUUACUGCUAAAACACACACAGAGAGAUGCAUACAAAGGGAAGAAGGGCCUCAGCUGACAAUUAAUGGGCAUGCAGUCAUUGUAGCAUAGACUGAGUGGGGACUUUGAGGAAGCCUGCAGCACAUUGCUGUAUUUUCUUGCAAAGUGACACAUGUUUUCACCUUCCAGCUGCAGUACUGAAAAUGGGUGUGGGCCCCUCGAGAUGGGUGGGUUUGGAAGUGUGUAUUCUAACAUGUCAACGACACAAUAACAGCACAUUAGUGAUGGGUUUAUAUUACUAGUAGUGGUGCUGGUGCUGGUUGUAUCACUAUCAUUUUCAAUUGCGAAUUGCUUCCCAUGAGGCAUCCCAAAGCAAUUUACAAGAUAAUAACGCACAUAAAACAGUUGCAUUUAUUAAAAAAACAAAAAAAGUUGAAACAAAUGGAUAGAUACAAAAAUAACUUUUAAGAACAAUUAUAGUGUAAGAAGAGUUUAAAAGCACAUACAUAAACUAAUUGCAAAUUCAAGGCUGAUACCAGCUGGGAUAAAGAUUUGCAUACAAGAACACCCACAUACCAUUCCACUUCCAUCAUUUUAGUAUGUGUCCUCAAUGUCACAUACCCUCUAAGGUUUCUCCGAUUAAAAUAGGGACUUCCUAUUCAAUAAUAAUAAUAAUAAUAAUAAUUUAUUAUUUAUACCCCACCCAUCUGACUGCAUUGCUGCAGCCACUCUGGGACUUCCAACACAUACAAAAACAUAAAAAAGCAUUAAACAUUUUAAAACUUCCCAAUACAAGGCUGCCUUCAGGUGUCUUCUAAUGGUUGUACAGUUGCUUAUCUCCUUGGCUUGGGGGUUGCAUAACUCCAUACCCUCCAACUUUUCACCUAUGAAAAUAAGGGUGUCUUACGGAUAAGCAGGACAUUCCAGGAUCAAAAGAGAAACUGGGAUGGCUUCUGUAAAUCCAGGACUGUCUCUGGGAAAUACGGACACUUUAAGGAUCCGAUGUUACUGAUUGGAUGGGUACUUGCAGGGCCGGCCCACCCAUGAGGCAAGAUGGGGUGUCUGCCUCAGGCAGCAGGAUCCACAGGGGCAACAGAUCCCAAUGUAGCCCUUUAUUCCCCUCUGGUUCCUGAUGUAGAUCUUCACGUACCCCUUCUUCCCUGGUGCGGAGCCAUUUUGUGGUUUGCCUUAGUUUCCAAAAGGUCUUGAGACAGCCCUGGGUAUCUGUGAGCUAUAGUGCAACAGGAGCAGGAGAAAAAGAACCACAGAACAUAGUUAGCCUUGGUGAAGACUUGACAUUUUCAUCCCCAAAAGUUUUUGAGUUUCUGCUGAAAUAAGGCUGCAUUUUAAUGUUGUAUUUUAAUCUUGUUUUUUAAGUUGUAUUUCAAUCAAUUGUUUUAUAUCUGGUGUUAGCCGCCCUGAGCCCGGUCUUGGCUGGGAGGGCGGGGUAUAAAUAAUGUUUAUUAUUAUUAUUAUUAUUAUUAUUAUUAUUAUUAUUAUAACAUUCGUGGUAUAAAAAGUUACAGGGUUUCAGCAGUGGCAUGCGCUGAUGGAGAACGAGCGAGUGAGAUGUGGUCAAUCCUACUCCUAUGCAGAACAGACCCUUUGAAAUUUAUUAACAUGACUAAUUUAGGGUCGCAUUCCUUUAAAACACCUUGAUGCCACAUUAAACAGUCAUGGCUUCCCCAAAAGAAUUAUGUGAACUGUACUUUGUUAAAGGUGCUGAGAAUUGUUCAGAGGUGCCUAUUCCCCGACCGGAACUACAAUUCCCAGAGUAAUUUAACAAUCAAUCCCUCUUCACAGGGAACUCUGCGUAUGUUUGUUUCAGCCCUGAGUGAGAGUCAAGAGGCUGAGUAGGGAAGGAAAAAGAACUGACAGUGGUUUAAGUGGAUGAGUAUGUUUGUAUUAUUGCAAUGUUUUUUAAAUGUUUAUUUUUGUAAAAUUAGUUUUGGUUGUUUGUUGCUGUUUUUGUAUUCUGUGCACCAGGGAUGUCCAACAGGUCGAUCGCAAUCUACUGGUAGAUCCCUGGCAGGUUUUGGUAGAUCACGGUCGGUCGAUGGGUCCCUUUCCUUAGUGUUGGUAAAAUAGAAUCCGGCCCUGAACUCCUCGCUCUGCCCUCCAUUGUUGCACGAUCUGCAGAACGGAAAACGGAGUUUACUCAGUGAGGCAGUUUGUUUCCCCAGCGAUCUGUUGGUAAGUGGCUGCUCCCCUUUCUCCCUUGAGCUUAGGCUUGAAUUCUAAAAAAAUCAGGGCUUUCCUCCUCCCUAAAAAUAGCUCAACAACUUUGACCUGAACCCCCGAAAAGGGGGUAGAUCACUGCCAGUUUUUAAUUCUGUGAGUAGAUCACAGUCUCUUGGGAGUUGGCCACCCCUGCUGUACAUGAUAGAUAGAUAGAUAGAUAGAUAGAUAGAUAAAAAGGUAAAGGGACCCCUGACCAUUAGGUCCAGUUGUGGACGAUUCUGGGGUUGCGGCGCUCAUCUCGCCAAGGGAGCUGACGUACAGCUUCUGGGUCAUGUGGCCAGCAUGACUAAGCCACUUCUGGCAAACCAGAGCAGCACACGGAAACGCCGUUUACCUUCCCGCCGGAGCAGUACCUAUUUAUCUACUUGCACUUUGACGUGCUUUCGAACUGCUAGGUUGGCAGGAGCAGGGACCGAGCAACGGGAGCUCACCCCGUCAUGGGGAUUCAAACAGCUGACCUUCUGAUCGGCAAGUCCUAGGCUCUGUGGUUUAACCCACAGCGUCACCUGCGUCCCUUUGAUAGAUAGAUAGAUAAAAUAAAAGAAUCCAACUCCAUUUACCUGGGAGUAAACCCCACUGUAUUCAAGAGGACUUACUGUUUGAGUAGCUGUCAGUGACUAUUAGCCACAAUGACCGUGCUCUACCUCCAUGGCUGGAGACAGUAAUGCUUUUGAAUACCAGCUGCUGGAAACCACAGAAGAGGAAAAUGCUCUUGUCCUACUUGCGGCCUUCUCAAUGGGGCAUCUAAUUGGUCAGUGUGGGGAAAGGAUGCUAGGCUAGAUGAGCCAUUGGCCUGAUCCAGCAGGUUCUUCUUAUGUUCUUAUAAUGAACAUAUAGAUGAUGGGGUUCUAUUUAUGCAUGUGUGCAUGUGUGUGCGUGUGUGUGUGUGUGUGUGUGUGUGUGUGCAUGUAUAAGAGAGAGAGAGAGAGAAUAGGAGAGAUCGCUAUACUGUUGAGUUCAGUUCUAAAGGAUUGGGUGUCAGUCUCCAAACAAGUCUGCCAUCACGUUUUCCGCAGCAGGGACUUUAUGUCUGUGCACUAUGCUCAGCACCGCAUCUCCAUAGCAAGCCCCAAACCCCAUACAAACAGCACAUCAAAGACAUCUGGAAAGCGGAAGGUAAUUUGCACUGCUUCAACUCCUCACCGAUAAGUCUCCAGCAAUUAUUCUUGCAGAGAGGAGAAUGCAAGUUUCGGUGUAAUUAGGCCAAGCUGAUGUGCUUAAGAACCAAGGUGGAGAGAGAAAAUGGAAUAAAGGGACCCUGCUGACCCUUAGCUAUUUCUUUAAAAUACACACUCAGAGACCACAUUCAGUGAGUUCUCUUCAGACCUUGAAGCAUUUAAAAUAAUGCAGUUUCAUCUCACACCACAGGUUUUUCUUUUCUAUUUUGACUUCCAGCAAAAGAUUCUGGACAUGACGAACAUCAUAGGAGAGAGACUGUGGGGUGGAGGGGAUGCCAGGAGGGUUUUACCUUCUCAGAAAAACAGCGGUGCUAUUGUCUAAUAAACAGUGAAUCCAUAACCAGAGUAAUUUCUCUGCCAGGAACAAAGUGGGGAUUCCUGCAGAAAGUUGACUUGCCAUCAAUUCUGGAGGGUUUUUUGUUCGUUAAUUCUUUAAAGUGAGAGUUGAAACAAGCUGAUUGGUUCUAAGUUUGAAUCUUGAAAACGUAACCAAUUAUUGAGUUCCAUUUGGGGGUUUCGACAAACCUCAAAGCUUGCAGCUAGUGCUAGUCUUAUUAAGAGUAGACCAAUGGAAAAUAAUGACCCAUUGGAAAUAUUGUUGUUGUGAUUGUUUAGUUGUUUAGUCGUGUCCAACUCUUCGUGAUCCCAUGGACCAGAGCACGCCAGGCACUCCUGUCUUCCACUGUCUCCAGCAGUUUGGUCAAACUCAUGCUUGUAGCUUCGAGAACACCGUCCAACCAUCUCAUCCUCUGUCGUCCCCUUCUUUCCCAACAGCAGGGUCUUUUCCAGGGAGUCUUCUCUUCUCAUGAGGUGGCCAAAGUAUUGGAGCCUCAGCUUCAGGAUCUGUCCUUCCAGUGAGCACUCAGGGCUGAUUUCCUUAUGAAUGGAUAGGUUUGAUCUUCUUGCAGUCCAUGGGACUCUCAAGAGUCUCCUCCAGCACCAGAAUUCAAAAGCAUCAAUUCUUUGGUGAUCAGCCUUCUUUAUGGUCCAGCUCUCACUUCCAUACAUCACUACUGGGAGAAGCAUAGCCUUAACUAUACGGACCUUUGUUGGCAAGGUGAUGUCUCUGCUUUUUAAGAUGCUGUCUAGGUUUGUCAUUGCCUGGAAAUAUUGGCUUAUGCCAAUAGCCGAUCUAGUCCAGCAUCCUGUUCUCGCAAUGGCCAACUACAUGCCUGUGCAAACCCCGCAAGCAAGACGCCAGCACUAGAGCACUCUCAGCUCUUGCAGUUUCUGGCAACUGGUAUUCAACCCCUCUUCCCAGGUAACUCUGGGAACUGUGGUUUUGUGAGGAAAAUAGGGGUCUCAACACCCUUAACAAACUACCCUUCCUGUGAUUAUUCGGGGGGAACCACAACUGUGUUGAGUGGUAUGAUACCGAUUUAAAUUCAUAGUUCGGAUGGAGGCAGAGAAUGGUUCAGGGUUAUGAAUAGCUGUUUAUUGUUGCAUUGUUGUGCCUCUGUGGUCUAGUUAUGUGCUUUCCCCCUUCCCAAUUCUAAGAACCCUGUAGCUCAAGGCCACCCCCCAAAACAUCAUACACACAUCACAGAAAGAGGUGGUCCCCAGCAGAAAUUUGAGUGUGUUGCUUCUCUCCUGUUUGCCAGGAUACCUGAUAAUGCCUUAUCUGAAUGCCUUUUCUGGGUAGCCUGGCCAUUCCUUUGAGAUGGUAAAUACUUAGAUCCUGAAUCUCUUACGCAUAUUGAUAGUGUGCUCAGCUUAGCAGAUACUUCUCAGACUGUAUUUGCAGGGAGGUGUAAGCCCCUAUGGUCCAAAGACAAUUGGAAAGCUUUUCCCAUAUCCUUCCUCCUUGCAGAGAAAUAUUUGAGGUCAAUUUGGGAGAGUCAAAAUGGCUGCAGAAUUGUUCUCCUGUACUAUUUCAGACACAUAGUUUAUAUACUUAAGUAUGUGUUUGCCUUGUACAUUUAUGAAAUAUAUAUAUAUAUAUGACCUUAGAAUUCCUAUAACAUACACAAACAUUUUUUACAUGGCAAGGUGUUCCAGAUGUUAGGUUUCUGUUUGUACCACUGCUUCUUCAGCUGCUCUGAUAAAACUGAAACAAUGGUGUUUCCACAGGGGCAGUUCUAGGACUUUGGGGAUGGAAUGCUCAGAAUGGCUUCAUCGGCUGAAUCUUUGCAAAACUGAUCCUAUACUGCAGAUUGUUCAUGCGUCCACCAUCCAGAAGUUCAUUACAUUUUUAUCAGAGCGGCUGCUGAAAGUGGGAGCUGAACUCCUUUGCCACAUUAAAAACCAACAAGGUUAAUCACAAGGAGGGUUAUAAAUUCUAUGAACGGAAAUGAAUUUGCAAGCCAGUCUUUAUAUCUCUGAACUAGUUGCUAUUUGCUGCUGCUGCUGCAUGUGUGUGUGUGUGUGUGUGUGUGUGUGUGUGAUCUUCCGCUUGUUGGUGCUAGUAGUUAAAACGGCAUCUUCUUCCUUACAGCCUCAGAAACUCUUUGCAAACUCAACAGGAUGUAAUCAUACCUUCUCUGCGGAACAGCCACUGUUUCCAUGUUCUUGACCUCAUAUGAUUGCAGGGUUGCAUGAGGCAGCUUUCAACAACAGUUUGAGUUUCAAAAAAGGGGAGCCCUCUGCAUGGAUUGUCAAUGUAAUUGUUUCUCUUAAAAGGCACUCUCUGCCCUUUUAAAUCUUUUCCUUUCAGUCUUCAACCUGUCGUCCUCACACACACACACA